rnacentral:lncRNA from 1 species
GUUAGUUCACAUCUUGUCCGCUAGAGGGCGCCACAAAGUAGCAUUCGAUAAUCCACUGCACUUUUUUCUCCCCUACCCACGAUUGUAGUGCCAAUCUCACAGAAUUGGUGCGAGACGCAGAUGCGCAUUUUUCCCGUGUAUCUGCGGUGUUCAUUCAGCUGCAGAGACAGACAAAAGUCGAGGUAUGUAUGUACAAGUAUGUAGGUGAAACGGACUAAUCCGUCGUCGUCUCUCCUGGACGCACACUGACUACAGUAGGUAUUAUAUGUGCAUGUAACUAUAGGACAGUGUUAGGCAUACACACAGACAAAAGAAAUGAUAACGAAAGUAAACGAACAGUCAAGGGGCUAGGAGGACCUUUUACAGAAAAAUCCACUAGCACCACAAAACCACAAAACCAAAAGAGAUAAACGAUCCAAAAAUAAAAUAGUGCCGCAGAUUCAUUUGAAAGGGACGGGAUGAAAAACUUGCUUGAGGGAUGUUUGAAUCGUUGCAGGGAACUAAUCACAUAAGCAGAGAGGGAUAGUUGUUUGAUGGUUUCUGUCCAGGAUUAUUGAUCAUGGAAUUUUUGACAAAGUCGUCGGGCGCCACGUCGGAGAAAGUGUUUUAUGAACUAGAUAUUCGAGUAAAUUCUCACCACUUGGCGCUUGUGUUGCCUGCUAUGGGAUAUUCUGCUUAGCAAGGAUCCUUUACAGGUGUGUGUAUAGGAUAUGAUCUAGGUGCUCAUUUAAACAAAAAUGUUUUUAG